GGGAUGAGGCACCCACUGUCUCUCUCCCAUAAGCCUGCCAAGAAGAUGGAUGUGGCCCGCAUAACCUUUGACCUCAACAAGCUGAGCCCACAGGACUUCAUCAGCUGCCUGAACGUGAAGGCGACUUUCUAUGAUGUGUACUCCAUUUCCUAUGAUCUACACUGCAUGAGGCUGAAUGCAUGGUGAAAUUUAUGAUAGGCUACAAGCUGGACACCUUCUGUGCAACUCCCUGUUAUACUGCCCUAUGGUGGAUGGGUAGAGGUGGAAUCUGGAGUAAUUUUUUACACCACAAUAACCAGAACCUUACUAUUUGUCAGACAGACCUUUGUGGAGCUGAAGAAACAAACACUGUGUGGCAAAUAUAAAAUACGGUUGUUCCUUUCUUCAGAAGGAGAGGGGGCCAGGCGCGGUGUCUCACGCCUAUAAUCCCAGCACUUUGGGAGGCCAAGGCGGGUGGAUCAUGAGGUCAGGAAAUCGAGACUAGCAGAGACCAUCCUAGGUAACAUGGUGAAACCCCGUCUCUACUAAAAAUACAAAAACAAAAUUAGCCGGGCUUGGUGGCGGGCGCCUGUAGUCCCAGCUACUCGAGAAGCUGAGGUGGGAGAAUGGCGUGAACCCGGAAGGCAGAGCUUGCAGUGAGCUGAGAUUACACCACUGCACUCCAGCCUGGGCGACAGAGCGAGACUCCAAAAAAAUAAAAGUUAAAAAAAGGGAGAAGGACUCAUCAACACAUUGCUGCCUGCAAACCCAGGGAAAGACCACCUUACACCACAUUAUAUGGCAUCUGUAAAUCAACAUGGGCCAGCGGGAGACACCAAGGCCCUACCAGGAGCUGCUCUUUGAUCACCAGGUUCACACUGCAUCUUUUCGGGAAGGUUAAAAAAUAGUAAAUGACCACCAGGAUCACAGAAGGAAAGAGCUCAUGAUGUCCAUGGAAUUCACGCAGAUCAUAUCCAGGAAUCUUUGGAACAAAAAAUUCACAACACCAUGGCCUCAUACAAAAAUGCUGGGCUGCAGGAAACCUGAGGCAGAGAGCUCCAUCAUCACAGUGAAGUCCACGCCUUCAGCAGAUCCCACCAACAGCCACAAUGCUUCCCAUCACCUGAAAAAAACUCAUGGAUAA
rnacentral:lncRNA from 1 species